UGGGGUUUAUGUCAGGAAUGGAGCGAACCCGCUUUUUGAACCGGUUGCCGGUCAUCAUCUUUUUGACGGUGACGGCAUGGUUCAUGCUGUCACUGUCGAAAAUGGUUCAGUGAGCUAUUCUUGCCGUUUUACUGAAACGGAAAGAUUAGUUCAAGAGCGUGAAUUGGGUCACCCUGUUUUUCCUAAAGCUAUUGGUGAACUCCAUGGUCAUUCUGGAAUUGCG
rnacentral:misc_RNA from 1 species